CCUACGGGAGGCAGCAGUAGGGAAUAUUGCUCAAUGGGGGAAACCCUGAAGCAGCAACGCCGCGUGGAGGAUGAAGGUUUUCGGAUUGUAAACUCCUUUUGUUAGAGAAGAUAAUGACGGUAUCUAACGAAUAAGCACCGGCUAACUCCGUGCCAGCAGCCGCGGUAAUACGGAGGGUGCAAGCGUUACUCGGAAUCACUGGGCGUAAAGAGCGCGUAGGCGAGAUAGCAAGUCAGAUGUGAAAUCCUAUGGCUUAACCAUAGAACUGCAUUUGAAACUGUUAUUCUAGAGUAUGGGAGAGGUAGGUGGAAUUCUUGGUGUAGGGGUAAAAUCCGUAGAGAUCAAGAGGAAUACUCAUUGCGAAGGCGACCUACUAGAACAUAACUGACGCUGAUGCGCGAAAGCGUGGGGAGCAAACAGUAUUAGAUACCCCUGUAGUC
rnacentral:rRNA from 1 species